rnacentral:tRNA from 1 species
GCCCUCAUAGUCUAGCCUGGAUAGGACGCGAGCCUCCGGAGCUCGGAACCGGGGUUCAAAUCCCCGUGAGGGCG